rnacentral:rRNA from 1 species
CCUACGGGUGGCUGCAGUGGGGAAUAUUGCACAAUGGGGGAAACCCUGAUGCAGCGACGCCGCGUGAGUGAAGAAGUAUUUCGGUAUGUAAAGCUCUAUCAGCAGGGAAGAAAAUGACGGUACCUGAUUAAGAAGCCCCGGCUAACUACGUGCCAGCAGCCGCGGUAAUACGUAGGGGGCAAGCGUUAUCCGGAUUUACUGGGUGUAAAGGGAGCGUAGACGGCAGCACAAGUCUGAGGUGAAAUGCCGGGGCGUAACCCUGGAAUUGCUUUUGGAACUGUGCAGCUAGAGUGCAGUAGAGGGAAGUGGAAUGCCGAGUGUAGCGGUGAAAUGCGUAGAUAUUAGGCGGAACACCAGUGGCGAAGGCGGCUUACUGGACUGUAACUGACGUUGAGGCUCGAAAGCGUGGGGAGCAAACAGGAUUAGAUACCCGAGUAGUC